rnacentral:lncRNA from 10 species
GUGGGGCAGGGUGGCCUGGAGUGGGGGUGGGUAGUCAGUCAGGAAUGAGAGGUGGCUUUUUAUUCAUGAAGAAGAAAAUUCCCAGGGAACAGGAUGGCAAACGAGAAGGAAGGCUAUUGUGUAUGAGUGUACAGGUUGUACUCUGCACACUGGGGUUUGGAAGAGGAGACACACCAUAUAUAUUCCCCAAGUCAUGAAAGAAAUAAAGAAAAGACAAAGAUAACCUAGGUCAAACAAUGAAAGAACCAAAAAUGGAAAGAGGAAGAAAGUACAUGAAGUCGUGAAACAAAAUCCUGAAGAGUUUUCUGAGACUCGAAUGAGAUUAAAAGGCAUGAAGAACUCCAGAAAUGCAGGCUGCAAUAAUUAUUACUCUGAUCGUCAAUAGAAUCCAGAAUGCAACCAUCCAGAAGGGCAGGCUUUGGCUGCAGUGUUGCAGGGAGCGCCAGAUUGCAAGCCAAAAGAAAUGGAGAUGUAGGAAGGAUGCUACCACGGGGAGGCGGGUGUUCUCUGGAUGCAGAAGAUGAUAUACAGUCAUCAGUUACACACAAAUGUCAGGGAUUCUUCACUCAAAAGAAAGGAGAAAGCCACCACUUUGAAAGAAAGGAAAUAGUCAAUAUAUUUGACAACCUGUAUGGAAUGGACCUGACCAAUGGGAACAGUGACACGAGCUGAAAUUCACUUCAGCUUUUGGGGUUGCUGCCACACUUGGGUAGAGACCUAAAGAUCAACUUUUCUUUAACCUGCAUCAUUAAUCGUAUAAACCUUCCAGCUCACAGGUAUCCAUACCUGUGAGGAAGCAAGCAAAAACUGUUUAACUUGGCCAAUGUGGGGGAAAAGUCUAUAUUCAUCCAGUUAAAAAUAUGGAGCAGCAUCCCAUAUUCAAGGCAGUUUGUCUUCAGUAGGGGCCCUUUAAUGCUAAAUUCCCUAAAAGUUCAUAUUUCUUCUAAAAUUCCUGGAGUAAACGGCAGACAAAGACUGAGAGACAAAGAGAGAAACAGAGGCAGAGAAAGAAAGAACAUUAUCAGAUGUCAUUCCCGAUCUCCUUCUCUUUUUAAAUUAAAAUCCAGGACACUCUCUACUAAAACUCACCAAAGCUGGGAAAUAUGCCCUAGCCCUCAGUAUUAGCCUUGCGGCUCUGAGCAACUUCCUGGUCUCCUCUGACUCUAUUUUCCUGUCUGUGAAGUUAGAAGACAGGGAGAGGAAAAUAAAGCACAGCCUGACAUCAUAUGCCAGGAAUAAGUCAUCAAGAUUCUCAGCAACACUGCAUCUGGAGGAUGAAUGAUCUGGGUUCCCUGAAGCCACCAUUAAUGGCAUUCUCUUGCAGAGUGAUUAUGCACCAGGAAGCUUCACUGUGGAACUGGCCUGUUCUUACAACCCUUAGAAACAACCGGUGCUGGCUGGGUGUGGUAAUGCAUGCCUGCAAUCCCAGCAUUUUCAGAGGGCAAGGAGAAAGGAUCACUUGAAGCCAGGAGUUCAAGACCAGCCUGAGCAACAAACUGAGACUCUGUAUUAUACCAAAACAAACAAAAACAAAAAAGUUUUUUUUUUUGUAAAUAGCCAGGUGCACUGGCAUGCACCCAUAAUCCUAGCUACUCAGGGGGCUGAGGUGGGGAGAUGGCUUGAGUCCAUGAGCCCUGGAGUUCGAGGCUGCAGUGAGCUAUGAUUUCACCAUUCUAGUCCAACCUCUAACAGAGCAAGACCCUAUCUCUCAAUAAAAUAAAAUAAAAUAAAAUAAAAUAAAAAA